AUUGAACGCUGGCGGCAUGCCUUACACAUGCAAGUCGAACGGUAACGGGCCUUCGGGUGCCGACGAGUGGCGAACGGGUGAGUAAUGUAUCGGAACGUACCUUUCAGUGGGGGAUAACGUAGCGAAAGUUACGAUAAUACCGCAUAUUCUGUGCGCAGGAAAGAAGGGGGUCGCAAGACCUUGCGCUGAUUGAGCGGCCGAUAUCAGAUUAGCUAGUUGGUGUGGUAAAGGCUCACCAAGGCGACGAUCUGUAGCGGGUCUGAGAGGAUGAUCCGCCACACUGGAACUGAGACACGGUCCAGACUCCUACGGGAGGCAGCAGUGGGGAAUUUUGGACAAUGGGGUAACCCUGAUCCAGCCAUGCCGCGUGAGUGAAGAAGGCCUUCGGGUUGUAAAGCUCUUUCGGCCGGGAAGAAAUCGCACGGGCUAAUACCCUGUGUGGAUGACGGUACCGGAAUAAGAAGCACCGGCUAACUACGUGCCAGCAGCCGCAGUAACAC
rnacentral:rRNA from 1 species